rnacentral:rRNA from 1 species
GUCUACAGCCAUAUCACCCUGAACACACCCGGUCUCAUCUGAUCUUGAAAGCUAAGCACUGUCGGAUCUGGUUAGUACUUGGAUGGGAGUCUGCCUGGGAAUACCGGGUGCUAUAGGCU